rnacentral:rRNA from 1 species
GAUGAACGCUGGCGGCGUGCCUAAUACAUGCAAGUCGAGCGAACAGAUGAGGAGCUUGCUCCUCUGACGUUAGCGGCGGACGGGUGAGUAACACGUGGAUAACCUACCUAUAAGACUGGGAUAAUUUCGGGAAACCGGAGCUAAUACCGGAUAAUAUAUUGAACCGCAUGGUUCAAUAGUGAAAGACGGUUUUGCUGUCACUUAUAGAUGGAUCCGCGCCGCAUUAGCUAGUUGGUAAGGUAACGGCUUACCAAGGCAACGAUGCGUAGCCGACCUGAGAGGGUGGUCGGCCACACUGGAACUGAGACACGGUCCACACCCCUGCGGGAGGCAGCAGUAGGGAAUCUUCCGCCAUGGGCGAAAGCCUGACGGAGCAACGCCGCGUGAGUGAUGAAGGUCUUCGGAUCGUAAAACUCUGUUAUUAGGGAAGAACAAAUGUGUAAGUAACUAUGCACGUCUUGACGGUACCUAAUCAGAAAGCCACGGCUAACUACGUG